GAUGAAGAACGUAGCGAAAUGCGAUAAGUAAUGUGAAUUGCAGAAUUCCGUGAAUCAUCGAAUCUUUGAACGCACAUUGCGCCCCCUUGCAUUCCGGGGGGCAUGCCUGUCCGAGCGUCAUUUCUGCCCUCCAGCCCGGCUGGGUGUUGGGCGCUGUCCCCCCGGGGACACGCCCCAAAGGCAGUGGCGGCGCCGCGUCGGGUCCUCGAGCGUAUGGGGCUUUGUCACCCGCUCGGGACGGACUCGUCGGCGCUGGUCUUCCUCCAGGCGACCCUUCGGGGCUCGUCUUCCUUCGGUUGACCUCGGAUCAGGUAGGGUUACCCGCUGAACUUAAGCAUAUCAAUAAGCGGAGGA
rnacentral:misc_RNA from 1 species